GAACUGCUGAAGAGUUCCACGACAAGACGAAACAGCCGUCCUGUGC
rnacentral:hammerhead_ribozyme from 1 species